UACAGAGGUCCCGAGCGUUGUUCGGAUUCAUUGGGCGUAAAGGGUGCGUAGGUGGCGCGCUAAGUCAGGUGUGAAAUUUCGGAGCUUAACUCCGAAACUGCAUUUGAUACUGGCGUGCUUGAGGACUGGAGAGGAGACUGGAAUUCACGGUGUAGCAGUGAAAUGCGUAGAUAUCAUGAGGAAGACCAGUGGCGAAGGCGGGUCUCUGGACAGUUCCUGACACUGAGGCACGAAGGCCAGGGGAGCAAACGGG
rnacentral:rRNA from 1 species